rnacentral:rRNA from 1 species
GGAGGGCAGGUCUGGUGCCAGCAGCCGCGGUAAUUCCAGCUCCCAUAGCGUAUAUUAAAGUUGUUGCAGUUAAAAAGCUCGUAGUUGAAUUUCGGGGUUCCACCGUUGGUCGGGCUAUUGUCUGUACUGGCGUGUGGAAUUUCUACCUUCUGGGGAACCGAUCAUGUUCUAUAUUUAGCGUGGUGGGAAACCAGGACCUUUACCUUGA